CGUUCCCGGGUCUUGUACACACCGCCCGUCACACCAUGGGAGCGGGUUCUGCCAGAAGUAGUUAGCCUAACCGUAAGGAGGGCGAUUACCACGGCAGGGUUCGUGACUGGGGUG
rnacentral:rRNA from 1 species